rnacentral:rRNA from 1 species
UACGUAGGGUGCGAGCGUUGUCCGGAAUUACUGGGCGUAAAGAGCUCGUAGGUGGUUUGUCGCGUUGUUCGUGAAAACUCACAGCUUAACUGUGGGCGUGCGGGCGAUACGGGCAGACUGGAGUACUGCAGGGGAGACUGGAAUUCCUGGUGUAGCGGUGGAAUGCGCAGAUAUCAGGAGGAACACCGGUGGCGAAGGCGGGUCUCUGGGCAGUAACUGACGCUGGAGGAGCGAAAGCGUGGGGAGCGAACAGGA